CUUCCAGAUAUUGUGGACUUUUCUUUGACCUCUCAGUGAAUUCAAUAAAAGAGAGGAUUUCUGACAGUGAUAUUUUUGACCAGUUGCACCUCUAACCAUGGGCAAGAUGGAAAGAUCCUGAUCCCAGUAUUGUCAUCUCCCUCCUCACCUUAUGACUUCAGAGAUGGAGUAGAAUGGGUCUCUGAGGAGAAAAGAAAAUACUUUAAUCUCUCAGAGACUUCGGGAUGACCUCCAUCACCUCCUCCUUUGCUUCGUUCACAAGCAGCCUCUUCAACACCGAAGUGCCCCUUUGCCUAAAGAGCAGUUUCUCAUGACAGUGGGAACAGAACACGUGGACCCCAAAACUCUAUACCCUGACCUGGUGGGGAAACUAUCCUGUUUAGCAUUCCAGCUGUUCAGAAGUCUCCAGCAAUGCUUUUCUACCAGCCACAAAGAUCACACAAUAAAAUAUCAUCACAGUCAAUCACAGCUCAUCACUAACAUUCACUUUCUUGAUUAUUUUCAAAGGAAAACAAUUAACAGAUUCAACUAAUAGAGAUAAAAACAGUAAUAUUAUUAAAAGGGAAAGCCAGAAGAGUCAGAGGGCAGUUAUCACUGACAAAAUUACACUAAUCUGUUUUCCUUAACUUUCAUUUUUUUAAACUGCCUAUUCUUUCUGAUUACUUUCUAGUCUUAAACUGGAAAGGUUUCUUUCACUCAAAAAAUUGAAUUCCUUUCUGUAAAAUAAUUAAAAAGUUCAUUAAAAUUGAGUAAAUGUAGUAAUCAGAU
rnacentral:lncRNA from 7 species